UUGAAAUAUUUAGCUUUCCCGGGAAAUUUUUCAACCCUGUAUAUUUAGCUUUACGCAUGGUGCAUACCGUCAACCCUAAAAUUGAUACAUCUGGCCAUUAUAAUUGAAUUCGUAUUACAGAUGUCUUUUGCAUCAGCUGUCAUUGUGGGACUUGCUACCUUUCUAGCAUUCGUCGAUUUCACGAUUGCAAAACCUGAACCUAAACCGAUGAGUGGAACUGGUUGUUCAUAAUAAUCUCCUCUCUCAAUAUAAGGAUAAAUAUCUCAUGGAUCAUACGAGAUGGAAGCUGCACUUGUGUUAUGAUCAAGAGAAAUAAAUCUUAAUAAGCCUUAAAA